UGACCGGUCCUUUUGAGCUUCCUGGGUGGCACUCUUGAUCAACCUUUCGAACUGCUGCUGAAUCCAUUGGCAGGCAAGAGAGAACCAGGCAAACUGAAAGAUCUUUGUAGCCAAAGAAAAAGAAAGAAAAAGUGAUUCCCGUAGAAAGGGCGGGCGAAAUGGGAGCUGCCUAAACCGUGAAAAUAGGAUUGUGGAAGAGCAAUACAAGCGUCGUACAUGUAGGCGAAGCAACCCGAAUGUUGCACCCUAGAUGGUGAAAGUCUAGUAGUCGAAAGCAUCACCAACUUAGGCUCGGAGCCGAGUAGCAUGGGGCACGUGGAAUCCCGUGUGAAUUAGCAAGGACCACCUUGCAAGGCUAAAUACUCCUGGGUGACAGAUAGUGAAGUAGUACUGUGAGGGUAAAAAACCCCGGAAGUGACAUAGAACAUAAAAGUGUAAGCUCCCAAGCAGUGGGAGGAGCCAGGGCUCUAACCGCUUGCCUUCUGAAGAAUGAGUCGGCGACUCAUAGGUAGUGGCUUGGUUAAGGGACCCACCAGAGCUAUAACGACAGCAAGUCUUCAUAGGGCAAGUAUCAGUGCUUAUGGACCCAAACCUGGGUUAUCUAUCCAUGACAAGGAUGAAGCUUGGAUGAAACUAAGUGGAGGUUCGACCGACUGAUGUUGAUGAAUCAGCGGGUGAGUUGUGGUUAGGGGUGAAAUGUCACUUGCACCCAGAGCUAGCUUGUUCUCCCAGAAAUGUGUUGAGGCGUAGCAGUUAACUAGGCUUCUGGGGGUAAAUAACUGUUUCAGUGUGGGCCGCGAGGGCGGUACCAAAUUGAGGCAAACUCUGAAUACUAGAUAUAACCUCAAAAUAACAGGGGGGCAAGGUUGGCUAGUGAGACGAUGGGGGAUGAGCAUCAUCGUUGAGAGGGAAAGAGCCCGGAUCACCAGUUAAGGCCCCUAAAUGACAGCUCAGUGAUGGGGGAUAAGCCUUAUCGUUAAGAGUGCAUAAUAGCGCAUAGAUCGAGAGCUCUUGCUCCAAAGAGGAACGGGGCUAAGCGAUCUGCCGAAGCUGUGGGAUGUGAAAACGCAUCGACAGGGAUAUGUAAAUUCCUUGUCCACUCUUUCCAAUAUUUUCCAAAAAUCAACAUUUAGGAAUAGAGAAUAUAUAUAAAGAAAGGUCUAACUGUUGGAAUCAUUUUUUCAUCGCAAUUUGAUGCAUUUCAGUCAUUAACAUUAGUGGAUUAGGUGAAAGUGCUGAAAGAGAGGGAUUCGUCAUAGCAAUUCCAAUCCUACGCCUUGAACCACUCGGCCAUC
rnacentral:ncRNA from 1 species